UCAAAUUGGAGCUUAAUUGAAAGUAUUUUAUUUACAUUAAAAAGUUAAUUGUUAAAUCAAUUUAAUUUGAA
rnacentral:tRNA from 1 species